GCUACAAUGAUAGCCAAACAAAUCGAUCGAUACAAGUAAUUUCACAAAACUUUUAAAUUGCCAUCUUGUGACGUAGCGUCAUCAAGAGUAUAAGAUUUAGUGUAGUAAACUACUUUAAUAUGUUUUGAACUGAUUCCAUAUGUAUUACAGUGUUACCAGGAGGAUAGAGUUUUGCAGCAGGACUUAGUGGUUAUGAUUUUGUGCCAUGAGGAAGGAACCGGCACCAGGAAGCCAAGAAUUGUCCUCUGGAAAGGAGUUUUACCAGGAGGAUAGAGUUUUGCAGCAGGGCUUAGUGGUUAUGGUUUUGUUCCAUGAGGAAGGAACCGGCACCAGGAAACCAAGAAUUCUCCUCUGGAAAGGAGGCAAGUGGUAGUGAUAUGAAGCACACCAGCACAUAGCAAGUAAUGGGUUAGCAUGGAGAGGAAGCUGGACAUGUACAGCUUGUGUAGGUGAGGAGGAAGUGUGCUGAAGGAUGAAGAAGGGGUACAUUAUAUAUCUUGUUACCAGAAUGAUAGAGUUUUCCAGCAGGGGUUAGUGGUUAAGAUUUGGUGCCAUGAGGAAUGAGCAGACACCAGGAAGCCAAAAAUUCUCCUCUGGAAAGGAGUGUUACCAGGAGGAUAGAGUUUUGCAGCAGGACUUAGUGGUUAUGAUUUUGUGCCAUGAGGAAGGAACCGGCACCAGGAAGCCAAGAAUUGUCCUCUGGA